rnacentral:rRNA from 1 species
UCGCAAUGCCCGAAAGGGUGACGAAGCGACGCCGCGUGGGUGAGGAAGGCCCUCGGGUUGUAAAGCCCUGUCAGGAGUUAAGAAAUGUAGGUGUGCUAAUAUCACGCCUAUUUGACGAAGGCUCCAAAGGAAGUCACGGCUAACUCUGUGCCAGCAGCCGCGGUAAUACAGAGGUGGCAAGCGUUGUUCGGAAUUAUUGGGCGUAAAGAGCACGUAGGUGGGUUUGUAAGUCAGAUGUGAAAGCCUCCUGUUCAACGGGAGAAUUGCAUCUGAAACUACUGAUCUUGAGUGUAGGAGGGGAGAAUGGAACUUCUGGUGGAGCGGUGAAAUGCGUAGAUAUCAGAAGGAACGCCGGCGGCGAAAGCGAUUCUCUGGCCUAUUACUGACACUCAGUGUGCGAAAGCUAGGGGAGCAAACGGGAUUAGAUACCCCGGUAGUCCUAGCCGUAAACGAUGGGCACUAAGUAGAGGGGU